rnacentral:lncRNA from 1 species
CCUCGCGCCGCUUCGCUUUUCCCCGCACACACCUGCGCCGUGGUCGCCACUGACCGCGUCGUCCUCGUGGCCACCGGCCGUAGCUCGCCAAGCCGAUGUGUUGAGGAGCCCCGAAGGGAUAUUCUUCAUCGGCUACCGCGCUGGAACGAGGCAGGGAAGCCUCAUCACCGACGCCCGCGCCGUUCCCCUUCGUCCGCAUUUGUCGGUCACCGCCGCUCGAUCCGCCGCCCUCGCUGCAACCCCGGCCCUCCCCGAGCACGUCAACGAACUCACCGUGAGCUCCUCUCCCGAUUCCCCUGCUUUUCCCCUUCAAUUUGUCGCCGUAUGCGUUGCCCCACGAGGAACAGCCACCAUCGCCGGAGUUGGCCCGUCCGUGCCCCUAGUCGGGCCCUCGCGCGUGCCCGCGCGCCUCCGUGCCCGCCCGUUUGCGCCUGAACUCGCCCCUAUGCGUGCUCCCGCGCGCCCCCCUGGUCGCCCUGCCCGUGCAUGUGAGAGCUCCGGCCGCGCACAACGCGCACGCGGCUGUUGUCCCCGCUCGCUGCUGCCGCCAUGUUGCUGCUGUUCCUUGCUGCCGCAGCUGCGUGUGCUGCUCGUUGCCGGCUGCUGCUCUAUGCUGAAGCCGCCCGUUGCCGCCGCCGCUGCUUUGCUACUGCUGCUAUCUGCUCCUGCUGCUUGCCGCUACUGUUUUGCUCUGCUUGCUUUUGCUGCUAGCGAUCUUGGCCAUGGGCGCCAAGGCCCUGUACAUGGCCGUGUGUGGCGUGUAAUGUGUGUGCGUGAGUGUGUGCACAGAGGUGUGUGUGGCCGGCCCUUGUUUGACUAGUACAGAUUAGGAUUUAAAUUAGUAGAUCAAUUAGCCUAAUGUGUAGAAGACAUGUGGGCUCCAUUUGAUUAGGUUAUUUUUUUAUUAAUUUGGCUAGGUGUAGCCUAUGGCAUGUGGGCCAUACGCCCUGUUGACUGGUCAACCUUUGACUGGGUCAACCCAGUCCCCUAGUCCCACAUGUCAGCCUUUUUGGGAGUGUAUACAGUGGGUACACAUAGCAAUUUCCCUAUUUAAUUCGAAUUAGCAGUAAUUUCAGAAAAUAGUAAAAUCUUUAGAAAUUCAUAGAAAUUAAACCAUAACUCGGAUGAAAAUGUUUUCUACAUGAAAGUUGCUCAAAAAAAAUCCAACGAAUCCGAAUACGCGGUCUGUUCAUCUGUCAGAUGCCUCUAACUAUCUGAACAUGGAACAUUCCCCCUCCGGUUAUUUGUCUGACACGGGUCCGGAACCGAGAAUACAUUCCCAGUUGUUUUCCCCCUUCACAUAUAUCGUGUAGCCAUACGUUAGGUCACACCCGGCACAUCAUAUUGCCCUGUUAUGUUUUGUGAUGCUAAAUUUGCUUUAUAUUUACUGUUUCUUCCCCCUCUUCUCUCCGGUAGACCCCGAGACCGAUGAUGCCCCUGUGAUCGACUACGUCGACGACGACCCCUCCUUGCCAGAGCAACCAGGCAAGCCCCCCCUUUGAUCAUCCCGAUAUCGCCCAUUCCAUUCUCUCAUGCUUGCAUUAGAUUUUGCUAUUGUUAUUGUUUUCUCCUAUUCUGAUGCAUAGCCUUCUUUUGUAACCUGUUUAUCCUAAACUGCUUAGUAUAGGUUGGUUAGUGAUCCAUCAGUGACCCCCACCUUGUCCUUGUUGCCCCUGCUUCAUCAUUGAAGACCCGAUCAACGGGAUCGAAGACCAGGCCUCCGCACCGCACAUCACUUUCCCCUUAGUUGCUCGACACUGCUGGGUUAUAUGGACUGCCGAGGGUGAGACCUCUACAAUACUUCUGAUGUUAACCCUAUAGUGUAGCUAUUCGGUCGUGGUAAUCGAGGGUGAUUCCGCCUUAACCACUUCCAACAUGACUCUGUCGUGCAACCCCUCAAGUGUGAACCUCGGGGGUGAUUCCUCUUACGUUCACCUUGUUGAUUACAUCGAGUGGAAUUCACCGGGGGUGAUUCCUCGGGUUUUCCCCUUGAUGUUUGGACACACGGUUACUAUGGUUACUAUGUUACACUGAACCAUGUUACUAGAGACGGGUCGACCCUGAGGGGUACCUGCGCGAGCAUAAUUGCGAGUGAUGUGGAGACGGGUUGACCUGGAAGGUGCCCGAGAGAUAAUUACGAGGCAUGGCCGGGCAUUCCUAGCCCUUGCCGCAAGUCCUCGAGACGGGGCAAUGGGGUCACAUCUUUCGUAAGUCUCUGCUUGUUACCGGGCGUUCCUAAUCCACUAUGAUUUGGAUAUUUGAUCCGAGGGGCCUCUGGCCUGAUAGCACUAACCAUCACGUGGGCAUAGUAUGGGCGUUCUGCGUCGUACGCAUCAGCCGAAGCUUAAUAGACGUCAGCGACUGAGUGGCGCGCGCCGGGUUGGACUGGUUACGCCUUCUCUUGUAUAAGGGAGGCUAGGUCUGCUCACCGGCCGCGUACGCAACGUGCAGGAGUUUUCGGGGAGAUGGCCCAUGACCCCUGGGGGCAUAGGUUUAGUCCGGCAUGUUGACCUCUCUGUUAGGUCUAGGCCGGGUUGCGGUGUAUUGUUUGGCCGAGGCCGGGCAUGACCCAGGAAAGUGUGUCCGGCCGGAGUUAAUCAAGCGUGGUGGGUAAGUUGGUGCACCCCUGCAGGGAAGAAAACAUCUAUCGAUAGCCUGUCCUACGGUAACGGACACUCGGAGUUGUAUCCCGAUCGAUACCACUAGAACUGGAUACUUGUGAUGACAAUUGGAUGAUGAUGAGAAUUGGAUUGUGAUGAUAAAUGGAUAGUAUGGCUCUGGGAUUUCUUUCUCACAGGGAGUCGAGAAAGGAUCUCUAGCCGAGGUUGAUAACACUACUACUACUUUACUUUAUGCUACUCUACUCCCUCCUGUUUGCUGGAAGAUGGUGGUUUCCAGAAGAUGCUAGUCUUCGAUAGGACUAGGCCUUCUCUCUAUUCUGGCAUUUCUGCAGCCCAGUCCAUAUAUACAACCUUCCUUUGAUAAUGUUGCAUAUGUAGUGUAGAUCCUUGCUUGCGAGUACUUUGGAUGAGUACUCACGGUUGCUUUGCUCUCCUCUUUUCCCCUUUUCCAUUCUUCUCGGAUGACACAACCAGAUGACGGAGUCCAGGAGCCAGAUGACACCUUUGACGACUGCUACUACCCCGAGGGUGCCUACUACCACGUGACGGAGACCGCCGAUGACGAGGACUAGUUAGGAGGCUCCCAGGCAGGAGGCCUUGCCUUUUC